GGUGGGGUUCCCGAGCGGCCAAAGGGAGCAGACUGUAAAUCUGCCGUCAGCGACUUCGAAGGUUCGAAUCCUUCCCCCACCACCA
rnacentral:tRNA from 2 species